AUAUCUUUCUUGGUAUUUUGGCUAAGAUAAAGUGCAGUAUCUGCAGUUUGAUAUCUGGUAUAUAGGUCAUAUGUCCACUUUAAUUGUUUUUUUUUUGUAGAGAGGGUCCACACUGGCUUGUCACUGGACCCUCGGUUGUCGUACAAUUGUUGGACUAUAGCAUUAAAUAUGAUUUGGGUA
rnacentral:snRNA from 1 species